rnacentral:lncRNA from 1 species
CGCACUGACGAGAAAGGGGUGUUCACUACGAAUGUCCAAACUUGAAGACAUUUUCAGUCUUUGAAAGACUUUGGAAUCGUGAAAAAAUACCGUGGACCAUAAAUGCACCACUUAAGAGCACCAGCAUCUGAUGGUUGGUAGAGUGGUAUACGUACAUAUUUGAUACUCAGUGACUUCAGUCUCCCAUUAUAAUAAAUGGAACAGUCCAUAACACCAUAUAAUAAUACCGGACGUCCCGCCCAAGCAUCGAAGGGGGAAGAUAGGAGGUCGAGCACAGAGAGCUGUUAGUUACACAGUUUUGUGUUCACAGGAGUCCUACUUUGAUUAAAAACUGACAAUGCGAGCCAUCAUAUCGGUGCUGGUGCUGAUAGUCGGUGUUUUGGUGAUGCGGCCAUCUACAGCACCACCAUCAUCAUCACCAUCAACAUCAUCACCAUCAGCAACAUCAGCAGCAUCAGCAUCAGCAU